UGGGGAAUAUUAGGCAAUGGGGGGAACCCUGACCUAGCGACGCCGCGUGAGGGAAGACGGUCUUCGGAUUGUAAACCUCUGUCUUUGGGGACGAAGAAGAUGACGGUACCCAAAGAGGAAGCCACGGCUAACUACGUGCCAGCAGCCGCGGUAAUACGUAGGUGGCGAGCGUUGUCCGGAAUUACUGGGUGUAAAGGGAGCGUAGGCGGGUACGCAAGUUGAAUGUGAAAACUAUGGGCUCAACCGAUAGUUGCGUUCAAAACUGCGGAUCUUGAGUGAAGUAGAGGCAGGCGGAAUUCCUAGUGUAGCGGUAAAAUGCGUAGAUAUUAGGAGGAACACCAGUGGCGAAGGCGGCCUGCUGGGCUUUAACUGACGCUGAGGCUCGAAAGUGUGGGGAGCAAACAGG
rnacentral:rRNA from 1 species